GAGUUUGAUCCUGGCUCAGGACGAACGCUGGCGGCGUGCUUAACACAUGCAAGUCGAACGGAAAGGCCCUGCUUGCAGGGUACUCGAGUGGCGAACGGGUGAGUAACACGUGGGUGAUCUGCCCUGCACUUCGGGAUAAGCCUGGGAAACUGGGUUUAAUACCGGAUAGGACCAUCGUUUAGUGUCGGUGGUGGAAAGUUUUUCGGUGCAGGAUGAGCUCGCGGCCUAUCAGCUUGUUGGUGGGGUAAUGGCCUACCAAGGCGUUGACGGGUAGCCGGCCUGAGAGGGUGGACGGCCACAUUGGGACUGAGACACGGCCCAGACUCCUACGGGAGGCAGCAGUGGGGAAUAUUGCACAAUGGGCGCAAGCCUGAUGCAGCGACGCCGCGUGGGGGAUGAAGGCCUUCGGGUUGUAAACUCCUUUCCAACCAUGACGAAGCAUUAUGUGACGGUAGUGGAGAAGAUGAC
rnacentral:rRNA from 1 species